UACGUAGGGUGCAAGCGUUGUCCGGAAUUAUUGGGCGUAAAGAGCUCGUAGGCGGUUCGUCGCGUCGGCUGUGAAAUCCCGAGGCUCAACCUCGGGUCUGCAGUCGAUACGGGCGGACUGGAGUUCGGCAGGGGAGACUGGAAUUCCUGGUGUAGCGGUGAAAUGCGCAGAUAUCAGGAGGAACACCGGUGGCGAAGGCGGUGGUCUGGGCCGGCACUGACGCUGAGGAGCGAAAGCGUGGGGAGCAAACAGG
rnacentral:rRNA from 1 species